GAUGAAGAACGUAGCGAAAUGCGAUAAGUAAUGCGAAUUGCAGAAUCCGUGAGUCAUCGAAUCUUUGAACGCACAUUGCGCCCUUUGGUAUUCCGAAGGGCAUGCCUGUUCGAGCGUCAUUAUCACCCCUCAAGCCCCGGCUUGGUGUUGGGCUCUCGGUGGUCGUCUCCGACCACCCGUUUCAAAGAUAGUGACGGCGUCCCAGAGGGAACCGGUACGAGGAGCUUUCACGAGCAUGUACGCGGGACGACUCUGCGGGCGACGGUCUUAUUUACUUUAUAUACAAGUGUUGACCUCGGAUCAGGUAGGAAUACCCGCUGAACUUAAGCAUAUCAAUAAGCGGAGGA
rnacentral:misc_RNA from 1 species